rnacentral:rRNA from 2 species
GAGUUUGAUCAUGGCUCAGAUUGAACGCUGGCGGCAUGCCUUACACAUGCAAGUCGAACGGCAGCACGGGAGCAAUCCUGGUGGCGAGUGGCGAACGGGUGAGUAAUACAUCGGAACGUGUCCUGUAGUGGGGGAUAGCCCGGCGAAAGCCGGAUUAAUACCGCAUACGAUCUGUGGAUGAAAGCGGGGGCUCCUUCGGGACCUCGCGCUACAGGGGCGGCCGAUGGCAGAUUAGCUAGUUGGUGGGGUAAAGGCCUACCAAGGCGACGAUCUGUAGCUGGUCUGAGAGGACGACCAGCCACACUGGGACUGAGACACGGCCCAGACUCCUACGGGAGGCAGCAGUGGGGAAUUUUGGACAAUGGGCGAAAGCCUGAUCCAGCAAUGCCGCGUGUGUGAAGAAGGCCUUCGGGUUGUAAAGCACUUUUGUCCGGAAAGAAAACCUCGUGGUUAAUACCCGUGGGGGAUGACGGUACCGGAAGAAUAAGCACCGGCUAACUACGUGCCAGCAGCCGCGGUAAUACG